GACGAACGCUGGCGGUGUGCUUAACACAUGCAAGUCGAACGGUAAGGCCCUUUCGGGGCUACACGAGUGGCGAACGGGUGAGUAACACGUGAGUAACCUGCCCUCAUCUCUGGGAUAACAGUCGGAAACGGUUGCUAAUACUGGAUAUGAGCUUGCAAGGCAUCUUGUGGGUUGGAAAGAUUUUUUUUGGUUGGGGAUGGACUCGCGGCCUAUCAGCUUGUUGGUGAGGUAGUGGCUCACCAAGGCUUCGACGGGUAGCCGGCCUGAGAGGGCGACCGGCCACAUUGGGACUGAGAUACGGCCCAAACUCCUACGGGAGGCAGCAGUGGGGAAUAUUGCACAAUGGACGGAAGUCUGAUGCAGCAACGCCGCGUGCGGGAUGACGGCCUUCGGGUUGUAAACCGCUUUCAAUUGUGACGAAGCUUUUUUGUGACGGUAGCAGUAGAAGAAGCACCGGCUAACUACGUG
rnacentral:rRNA from 1 species